rnacentral:misc_RNA from 1 species
CCGAGUGCGGGCCCUCUGGGUCCACCCUCCCACCCGUGUCUACCGUCCCUUGUUGCUUCGGCGGGCCCGCCCCCCGGGGCGGCCAGGGGGCCCUCGCGCCCCCGGGUCCCGCGCCCGCCGGAGACGUCCACGCGAACACUGUGAGAAGGUUGCCGUCUGAGUGGAUUUAUCCAAAUCGUUA